rnacentral:rRNA from 1 species
GACAGAGGCCUCAAGCGUUAGGCGGAAUCACUGGGCUUAAAGCGUGUGUAGGCGGAUCGUUAAGUGUCUUGUGAAAUCCCCCGGCUCACCCGGGGAACUGCUGGGCAUACUGGGCGUCUUGGGCCAACUAGGGGCAACUGGAACAAGCGGUGGAGCGGUGAAAUGCGUAGAUAUCGCUUGGAACGCCGAAGGUGAAAACAGGUUGCUGGGGUUGUGCCGACGCUGAGACACGAAAGCCAGGGGAGCAAACGAG